GGGGAUUUGGCUCAGUGGUAGAGCGCUUGCCUAGCAAGCGCAAGGCCCUGGGUUCGGUCCCAGCUCCA
rfam:Rattus norvegicus chromosome 5, whole genome shotgun sequence.